GGGGAUAACACUUGGAAACAGGUGCUAAUACCGCAUAACAAUCAAAACCGCAUGGUUUUGAUUUGAAAGGCGCUUUCGGGUGUCGCUGAUGGAUGGACCCGCGGUGCAUUAGCUAGUUGGUGAGGUAACGGCUCACCAAGGCCACGAUGCAUAGCCGACCUGAGAGGGUGAUCGGCCACAUUGGGACUGAGACACGGCCCAAACUCCUACGGGAGGCAGCAGUAGGGAAUCUUCGGCAAUGGACGAAAGUCUGACCGAGCAACGCCGCGUGAGUGAAGAAGGUUUUCGGAUCGUAAAACUCUGUUGUUAGAGAAGAACAAGGAUGAGAGUAACUGUUCAUCCCUUGACGGUAUCUAACCAGAAAGCCACGGCUAACUACGUGCCAGCAGCCGCGGUAAUACGUAGGUGGCAAGCGUUGUCCGGAUUUAUUGGGCGUAAAGCGAGCGCAGGCGGUUUCUUAAGUCUGAUGUGAAAGCCCCCGGCUCAACCGGGGAGGGUCAUUGGAAACUGGGAGACUUGAGUGCAGAAGAGGAGAGUGGAAUUCCAUGUGUAGCGGUGAAAUGCGUAGAUAUAUGGAGGAACACCAGUGGCGAAGGCGGCUCUCUGGUCUGUAACUGACGCUGAGGCUCGAAAGCGUGGGGAGCAAACAGGAUUAGAUACCCUGGUAGUCCACGCCGUAAACGAUGAGUGCUAAGUGUUGGAGGGUUUCCGCCCUUCAGUGCUGCAGCUAACGCAUUAAGCACUCCGCCUGGGGAGUACGACCGCAAGGUUGAAACUCAAAGGAAUUGACGGGGGCCCGCACAAGCGGUGGAGCAUGUGGUUUAAUUCGAAGCAACGCGAAGAACCUUACCAGGUCUUGACAUCCUUUGACCACUCUAGAGAUAGAGCUUCCCCUUCGGGGGCAAAGUGACAGGUGGUGCAUGGUUGUCGUCAGCUCGUGUCGUGAGAUGUUGGGUUAAGUCCCGCAACGAGCGCAACCCUUAUUGUUAGUUGCCAUCAUUCAGUUGGGCACUCUAGCAAGACUGCCGGUGACAAACCGGAGGAAGGUGGGGAUGACGUCAAAUCAUCAUGCCCCUUAUGACCUGGGCUACACACGUGCUACAAUGGGAAGUACAACGAGUUGCGAAGUCGCGAGGCUAAGCUAAUCUCUUAAAGCUUCUCUC
rnacentral:rRNA from 1 species